UGAUGGCGACCGGCGAACGGGUGAGUAACGCGUAUGUAACCUGCCUACUACAGAGGGAUAGCCCAUGGAAACGUGGAUUAAUACCUUAUAGCACAUUUAAACUUCAUGGUUAAAAUGUUAAAGAUUUAUCGGUAGUAGAUGGACAUGCGUCUGAUUAGGUAGUUGGUGAGGUAACGGCUCACCAAGCCAACGAUCAGUAGGGGGUUUGAGAGGAUGAUCCCCCACACUGGAACUGAGACACGGUCCAGACUCCUACGGGAGGCAGCAGUAGGGAAUAUUGGUCAAUGGAGGAAACUCUGAACCAGCCACGCCGCGUGUAGGAAGAAUGUCCUUAGGAUUGUAAACUACUUUUAUCAGGGAAGAAUGACGAGCAUGCGUGCUCGGAGAGACGGUACCUGAGGAAUAAGCACCGGCUAACUACGUGCCAGCAGCCGCGGUAAUACGUAGGGUGCAAGCGUUACUCGGAAUCACUGGGCGUAAAGCGCAUGCAGGCGGUCUAAUAAGUUGGAAGUGAAAGCCUAUGGCUCAACCAUAGAACUGCUUCCAAAACUAUUAGACUAGAGUCUGGGAGGGGAAGAUGGAAUUAGUAGUGUAGGGGUAAAAUCCGUAGAGAUUACUAGGAAUACCAAAAGCGAAGGCGAUCUUCUGGAACAGUACUGACGCUGAGAUGCGAAAGCGUGGGGAGCAAACAGGAUUAGAUACCCUGGUAGUCCACGCAGUAAACGAUGAAUGUUAGAUGUCUGGGGAGUUUACCCCUUGGGUAUCGCAGCUAACGCAAUAAGCAUUCCGCCCGGGAAGUACGGUCGCAAGAUUAAAACUCAAAGGAAUAGACGGGGACCCGCACAAGUGGUGGAGCAUGUGGUUUAAUUCGAAGAUACGCGAAGAACCUUACCUAGCCUUGACAUAUUUAAGAACUCCGUAGAGAUACAGAGGUGCCUUCGGGAGCUUUCUUACAGGUGCUGCACGGCUGUCGUCAGCUCGUGUCGUGAGAUGUUGGGUUAAGUCCCGCAGCGAGCGCAACCCUCGUCACUAGUUACUAACGGUUCGGCCGAGGACUCUAGUGAGACUGCCUUCGUAAGGAGGAGGAAGGUGAGGACGACGUCAAGUCAUCAUGGCCCUUACGGCUAGGGCAACACACGUGCUACAAUGGUUAGGACAAUGAGAAGCAAUAUCGCGAGGUGGAGCAAAUCUAUAAACCUAAUCUCAGUUCGGAUUGUAGUCUGCAACUCGACUACAUGAAGCUGGAAUCACUAGUAAUCGUAGAUCAGCUAUGCUACGGUGAAUACGUUCCCGGGUCUUGUACUCACCGCCCGUCACACCAUGGGAGUUGAUUUCACCCGAA
rnacentral:rRNA from 1 species